ACGAAAUAAAUUUUAAAUUGGUUUUUUUUUUUCGUAAUACCUAUCUGUCUAUAAAGCGCAGUUGGCCAGUUAGCUGUUAGCGGAACAUCAAAAAACAAUGACAGGAUUUUGCGAGUCGUUUGUUUUUUGUCAAAAAGUUGGAAGAGUAAUUUUUUCCCCAUCACCUUUUAAUUAAUCAUUACUUCGCGAGAAUGCUUGCAAUAGUUAAGGCAGUAAAGAAAUGCAGCAGCAGCAGUUAGAUAAGCACCUUUUCCAUUAGCGUUUAGUGGGGGCAUUUGCCUAUAUAUACGUAGGUACUUAUGCACCUACAUCGCGUUUUCCUUGUUCUUGUAUAAAGGGCACUACAUUGCUCGGGGGAAAAUUUCCAAAAAGCAAGGAUAUAAUUUACGUGUGGCUGUAAUUGGUUUCCACGAAUUGCUUAUCAUUGAGAAUCUAUUUUGUAGACAUACAACUACGUAUGGAACUAAAUAAGAGUAGGUACGUAUAAGAGGGUAAAUACGAAUAUUAGUAAAUCUUCAUUUACAGUAGGUAAACCGGCAAGUUGCGCUAUAGGUAUAAUUGGUAAAUUAGAAAAGUAUACCAAAGAAAAAUUGUAUAGCGCGCUUGCACUUUGGAAUCUAAAUCGAAUACAUUCCCCCCCGGACCCUGCAGGUGUUGAAACAAAGACGUCUGUUGCAAGCAUCAUGUAGCAGCUCAUCCCUCUUCUCUCCGCUAAAGACACUGGUUGAAAUUUUCCAUUAGUUCAUUCGCGUCUCUCUUCUUACAUACGUCAUGGCGAAAAAGUACCCAAACCUUACAACCAAAAACCGGAAAUGCAAAGGAAGAGUUUACAAAAAAAACGGCAACCAAAUUAACAACAACAGUCCUUAACUAAAAUAAUGCGAGGACUGCAGAAAAACGCAGUGGCAGUGCACCCCCGGCGACCUCCCCGCUUCCCCCCGGUAUUAUACGAAGGACGACGAUAAUUUGAAUCUAAUAAUUAAAAAAUUUGGUCAACUAUUGCGGAAGUAGGUACAAACUGUUUUAUAUUUCUCUCCCACCCCUACUAUUUUUGCGCACGCAUGUUAAAAAUAAUAACUUGUUUACAGUAAAUAUGGGGGAACAUUUCGAGUAGGGUCAUAGCACAGCUGAUAGAAUGGAGUUGCUGCUGCAUAUUUUCUUUUUGCAUAGCUUUAUCACUUUGGGAUACCAGCACCAUCGCAUGCCUUAAAUUAACUUCAAUUAAUAUCUACUCAGGUGGUGUGGAACCAAUCCUACGAAUGUACCUCACACAACCACAUCAACAACCCUCGAGCGGCAAAGGUCAAGAAGACCUAAUGAAAAGCGUCAGCCUACUUUUCGGCUCUGGAAGCGACCGACCUGUAAGGAACUGGCGCACAAGACCUACGGGCGGGCCUAAAAAAUAUGGAUACCGCUGCAAACUGGUGGAUGCGCAAACCGUCGACAAAACAACUGGACUCUUCCAAAAGAGAGGCGCUUGGAAAAAAGGAUUUUCAAUUUGUUGAAGAAUUUCUUAAGUUCACUUUUAAAAUAUAUUUAUAUUGAAAGAUGUAAAUUAAUAGCUUUGUUAUGCAACCCAGAAUGCAGAAGCGAGCUAGUAUGGUUGCAACACUGCAUCCGACAUUUCGCGAAGAUGCAGUUAAUGCAACUAAACACAGUAUCAUACUUUUCCGAAUGCAGAAUGGGACUGUCACUAGUGUGGUUGCAUAAUCACAGUUGCAUCCGAGCAUAUAUUGUGCGUAUGUUCUAUCCAUGAUUUCAUAAAUAUUUUAAGGUGGAUAACCGACUUCAAUAACUCCUUGCCCCCUACAAAUAAGUCUUCAUGAGUGCUGAUAGGAUGGCGCAGAAAUUUAGCAUGAAGAAAAAAAAGGAUGUGCAUGAAUUAUUUAAAAAAUAAACUGUAUAUAAGAAA